UUUUAUUCAUAUGGUUUAUUUCAAGUUCUUGUUGUCGGAGCGGAUCUCGAAUCGGAGCGGAUCUCGAAUCGGAUCGGAUCGGAUCUCGAAUCGUUUUUGUUUAUUUCAAGUUCUCUCACUGAUUUUGUUUAUUUCUUUGGGUGUGUUUUAGGUUGAUGGUUAUGGGAUAGAAUCUUUGUCGAGCUUUUUCAUGGAUUAUGGAUAUAAAAUUGGAGGCAGACUUGAAUUUCCAAAAAACAAAGUACAACUUGUGUGGCUUUCUCCUCCGGAUAUUCACGUCCCGGGUGAUGGUCACGGUCUAGGCAAUGGCCCUUUGCCCCGGCUUGUUAUAGCUGAGCUUCUUGUGGACGAACUAAGCCCUGAAUCACAGGAGAUAAUAAGGAAGUAUUUGAAACCAGAAGGUGGUAAGCAAGCGAUUCUUUCAAGUACUUUGGGGUCUUUAAUUUGGGAAAAGCCAACAUCCGCCGACUUUAAUCAACUUGUCAAGUAUAUAUCAGAUAACUUCUUAGACAUUAAUAAUAUAUAACUUUAAUUGGUGGUUAUAGAGCUGAUCAGUGUUUUAAUUGUAUGUAUCUCUUAUAUACUAAAGCGCAAGUCGUCUGGCGAAUAAAAUACUGACAUGUGGCAUUGGUUUAAAAUAUAAAUUUAAAAAAUGUAAAUACAAAAGUGCAAAUACAAAGAUCUUUUAAAGAAACCGUUUAUCUAUUCAAAUAACUGAAUUUUAUUAUCUUCUUUUCCUAAAAAAUUAGACAAAAUAAAAAUCUAUAUUAUCUCUCCCAGUACUUCAUGAUCUCAAAAUCUCUGAACCGUUAGCCUUUCUCUUUAUAAGACUUGACUCACGAGUCAUGUUGCUAUAGAUUCUUCUCAACAAGCAAUCGCUUCAUUUAAUCUUUCUAUGAGAAUUUUAUGAAGUUUUUAUUUCUAACAAGACAGAUGAAUGACUUCUAGCGAUUGUAUCAACACUGUCAAGAAUACAGUUCUAUAUGUCUGGGUUGACAUGGGCUCUGGCCAAACGGCAGCACAACAAUACUCUUCGAAAACGUCUUAACAACGUUGGCGGAUGAAAGUUAAAAUCCAGGUUAGUGAGACUAAAUAGUAAAAUAAGUCUAAACUCUUUAAUAUUCAAAUCAUUAUUUAUGUCAUGUUGCUCGAAAGUUUAGUAAGGAGUAACAUACACAUUGGUUUUUAUUUUUCUUAUAUAAUGUCACCUAAUUUUGUAGACUAAAUAUACAACCAGAAAUGAAGAAAGAUAUAGAGAAGAACUAAAAACUACAACAGAUAACAUCAGUUAUUCUACAAAAAUAUAGUCAACAUUUUUUUUUACAAGAGCCUAAAAUUCAUAUCUAAUACUCAUAUUUAUUUUACCUUUAUAUUUUGGGUCUAUACUGAAGUGUCGUAAAAUAUAAACUAAACGGUAAAUUUUUAUUCUUAAGUUUAUCACUAAGUCUAUUGAAAUAACAUUUCUUUUUGUUGUAAGUUUUACAUAUUAUAUUUUAAAAAUAUGUGUACAUACGACAAUGCCCGUGCUAUGCACGGGAGAGUAUACUAGUGAAUGGUAAAGAGAGAGUGAGUAUGCGGCAUGGGCGCUUAUCCACGGCUACACACUGAACCAUCUUGCUGUUGCGGUUCAUCGACUUAAACACCGUCUCAGUGACAUUAACUACGUCCAAGAGUACUUCCAAGAUAUUGGAUUCAAACUGAACAAAGUCGGAGGAGAUAUUCUUAACGAGAGUGAAGACGGUCUACUCUUACAAGUGACGUUGGCGUCGGAGAAAGUUGCGAUUGAAUUUGCAGACGGGGUAACUGAACCCAUCACAGCUUCAUACAUUGAGUUUGUUCAACGUCUAGUUCUUCCACAGUUCAAAGAUGUACAGAUUGAUGAGAUCAAAGAAUUUCAUAGACGCGAGGGACUCGAGCAAGCUAACGCCAACCGCAUUAUGCAAAGCGCCCUUUCACAGCACAAGAAUGAAACCAACUGACUUGUCUUGUUCGGCUCACUGUAUGUCAAAUUUGUGUGUGUUUAAUUGUUCGUAUGUGAUUUGGAUCAUUUGCAAGCAAGAUCAAAUUAUUUGUGUGUGUUUAACUUACACAACCUCUCAUGAUGGCUGAUGAAUAAUGGAGAACACAAUGUCAUGGUGUGGUAUUUGUUGUGUUUUUCCUUUUCCAAAUAUAAUAAUUUGUG